rnacentral:rRNA from 1 species
GACGAACGCUGGCGGCGUGCUUAACACAUGCAAGUCGAACGGUGAAGCUCCAGCUUGCUGGAGUGGAUCAGUGGCGAACGGGUGAGUAACACGUGAGCAACCUGCCCCAGACUCUGGAAUAAGCGCUGGAAACGGCGUCUAAUACUGGAUACGAGAUCAAGCCGCAUGGCUAUGGUCCUGAAAGUUUUUCGGUUUGGGAUGGGCUCGCGGCCUAUCAGCUGGUUGGUGAGGUAAUGGCUCAACCAGGCGACGACGGGGAGCCGGCCUGAGGUGGCGACCGGCCACACUGGGACUGAGACACGGCCCAGACUCCUACGGGAGGCAGCAGUGGGGAAUAUUGCACAAUGGGCGAAAGCCUGAUGCAGCGACGCCGCGUGAGGGAUGACGGCCUUCGGGUUGUAAACCUCUUUCAGCAGGGAGGAAGCGAAAGUGACGGUACCUGCAGAAGAAGCACCGGCUAACUACGUGCCAGCCGCCGCAGUAAUAC